rnacentral:rRNA from 1 species
GAUGAACGCUGGCGGCGUGCCUAAUACAUGCAAGUCGAGCGAACAGACGAGGAGCUUGCUCCUCUCACGUUAGCGGCGGACGGGUGAGUAACGCGUGGAUAACGUACCUAUAAUUCUGGGAUCACUUCGGGAAACCGGCUCUAAUACCGGAUAAUAUAUUGCACCGCAUGGUUCAAUAGUGAAAGUCGGUUUUGCUGUCACUUAUCGAUGGAUCCGCGCCGCUUUGGCUAGUUGGUAAGGUAACGGCUUACCAAGGCAACGAUGCGUAGACGACCGCUGUGACGGAUAGCCGGCCUGGGAACGGAGACAGCGUCCAGACGCCUACGGGAGGCAGCAGUAGCGAAUCGUCCGCAAUAGUGGGAAGCCUGACGCAGCAACCGCGAGUGAGUUGUGAAGAUCUUCGGAGCGUAAAGCUCUGUUAUGAGGGAAGAACAAAUGUGUAAGGAACUAUGCACGGAUUGACGGUACCGAAUCAGAAAGCCACGGCUAACUACGUG